CGCGCAGGUGGUUUCUUAAGUCUGAUGUGAAAGCCCACGGCUCAACCGUGGAGGGUCAUUGGAAACUGGGGAACUUGAGUGCAGGAGAGAAGAGUGGAAUUCCACGUGUAGCGGUGAAAUGCGUAGAGAUGUGGAGGAACACCAGUGGCGAAGGCGACUCUUUGGCCUGUAACUGACACUGAGGCGCGAAAGCGUGGGGAGCAAACA
rnacentral:rRNA from 1 species